rnacentral:tRNA from 1 species
GGAGGUUGCCGGCGAGGUUCACGCGGAUGAAUCCCGCGGGUUCGUACAGGGCGCCUGUGCGGGUCAGGCCGACCACCU